rnacentral:rRNA from 1 species
CCUACGGGGGGCAGCAGUGAGGAAUAUUGGUCAAUGGCCGGAAGGCUGAACCAGCCAAGUCGCGUGCGGGAAUAAGGCCCUAUGGGUCGUAAACCUCUUUUGUCAGGGAGCAAAGGCGUCCCCGAGUGGACGAAAGGAGAGUACCUGCAGCAAACGCCUCGGCUAACUCCGUGCCAGCAGCCGCGGUACUACGGAGGAUGCGAGCGUUAUCCGGAUUUAUUGGGUUUAAGGGGUGCGUAGGCGGAGUGUCAAGUCAGCGGUAAACUUUCGGGGCUCAACCCCGUCGUGCCGUUGAAACUGACACCCUUGAGUGAGUGAGAAGUAAGCGGAAUGCGUGGUGUAGCGGGGAAAUGCAUAGAUAUCACGCAGAACGCCGAUUGCGAAGGCAGCUUACCGGCGCUCAACUGACGCUGAGGCACGAAAGUGCGGGUACCGAACAGGAUUAGAUACCCCUGUAGUC